rnacentral:rRNA from 1 species
CCUACGGGUGGCUGCAGUGGGGAAUAUUGGGCAAUGGAGGAAACUCUGACCCAGCAACGCCGCGUGAAGGAUGAAGGUUUUCGGAUUGUAAACUUCUGUCGCGAGGGACGAAGAAUGACGGUACCUCGUAAGAAAGCCCCGGCUAACUACGUGCCAGCAGCCGCGGUAAUACGUAGGGGGCGAGCGUUGUCCGGAAUGACUGGGCGUAAAGGGAGUGUAGGCGGCAAUAUAAGUUAGAUGUGAAAUCCCGCGGCUCAACCGCGGAACUGCAUCUAAAACUAUAUAGCUGGAGUGCAGGAGAGGUGAGUGGAAUUCCUAGUGUAGCGGUGUAAUGCGUAGAUAUUAGGAGGAACACCAGAGGCGAAGGCAUCUCACGAAUCCGCGAUUGACGCUGAUGCACGAAAGCGUGGGUAUCAAACAGGAUUAGAUACCCCAGUAGUC